rnacentral:lncRNA from 1 species
CUGUAACAUCAAGAGUAUGAACUCUUGUGAUGGUAACCUAGACAUGCAGAGAGGUUGUAAUACCCUGAGAACUUAAAAUUUCAGUCGUGGAUUAAAAUGAUCAAGAGAAGAUGUUUGAGGGCCCAUGUCCUUUGCAAACAAAAAGUCAGAGUGACCACUAAGGUAGCAGUUUCAGCAACCACUGCUCUGAAAAGGCAUGGGGAGAGACACGCCAGCAGAGCUGAGUCUUCUGAACCAAACGGAGCUAUUUUUUGCACAGUGAGUUCUGUGAUUGAAGAAUCUCCCGAGCUGUCUGACACUGUGUUCAUAACACUAGCA